rnacentral:lncRNA from 10 species
AAAUUAGCUGGGCAUGCUAGCACACAUCUGUAAUCCCAGCUACUCAGGAAGCUGAGGGAUGAGAACUGCUUGAACCCGGAAGGCAGAGGUCACAGUGAGCUGAGAUCAUGCCACUGCACUCCAGCCUGGGCAGCUGAGUCAGACUCUGAAAAAACAAACAAACAACAACAACAACAAAAAACAAAUUGACCUAUAGUACAGGAGAUAUUUUUAGGGGCUAUCUGCUUCUGUACUUCCAUCUGUUAUUUUUUUAAGGGACAUCGUCUCCCCUCCAGGUUUCCAGAAGUGCAGAAUAUGGUUCCAAAGAGAAGGGCAGACCCCACCUUCCAUCCUGUACCUUUCUGACCUUGGUGAAACUCUGUAUUUUUGUUGCUUUUUAACUGGUUGGUCAUCUUAACUUUGUACAAUGUAGAAAAGCUUUUAAUUUUGAUUUUUUAAAAUAUCCCUUUUUUACAGUCCUCAAAUCUAAGCCAAAAAGUCCAAAGUAACUUAAAAGAUGCUCCUUCCAUUGGAAGUGUGCUCUAAUCUUCAGGUCUCUGGUUCAGAAUCACUGGGAGUUCUUUUGCUAAAAAUGUGCUACCUCCUAUCUACAAAUUCUAUUAGCUUAAAAGUUCAGACCUAAAAAAUGCGUCUUAAACAAAUAUCCUAAGCGAUUCUUAUGCAUAUCCAACUUUGAGAACUGCAGCUUUAUCUUUUCCUUAUAACUAUGGUUCUCAAACAUUGCGACAAAUUAUAGUCACAUAAGGACGUUAAAAAAGGGAACAAUGGCUGAGUGCAAACCCAGAAUCAGAUCCUCUGAGUGGUAAGACCUGGGUAUUUGUGUUUUUAUUUAAUUUUUACUCUUUAUGUUGAGCUAAUUAUAGAUUUCCCAUGCCAUUUGUAAGGAAAAAUAAAGAGAGAGCCCAUGUACCCUUCACCCAGUUUCCCCCAAUGGUAAUACCUUGUAUAACUACAGCAUAACAUCACAAUUGGGAAACUACAUUGAUACAAUCCUACUAUGCUGUUUUUGUUUUUGUUUUUCCCAAGAUGGAGUCUUGCUCUGUCAUCCAGGCUGGAGUGCCGUGGCAUGAUCUCGGCUCACUGCAACCUCCGACUCCCGGGAUCAAGCAAUUCUCCUGCCUCAGCCUCCCAAGUAGCUGGGAUUACAGGUGCACACCACCACGCCCAGCUAAUUUUUGUAUUUUUAGUAGAGACGGGGUUUCACCGUGUUGGCCAGACUGGUCUUGAACUCUUGACCUCGUGAUCCACCCACCUCGGCCUCCCAAAGUGCUGGGAUUACAGACAUAAGCCACUGCGUCUGGCCUUGUUUUUUUUUUGUUUGUUUUGUUUUGUUUUGUUUUUUGUUUUUUAACUAGGUAUGCUUUCUUUAGUAGAGAUGGGAUUUUGCCAUGUUGGCCAGGCUGGUCUUGAACUCCUGACCUUGGUGAUCCACCCGCCUCGUCCUCCCAAAAUGCUAGGAUUAUAGGUGUUAGCCACUGUGCCCGGCCAUUUUUCUCUAUUUCUUCUUUUGGUGAUGCUUAGUUCUACUGGAGCAGCUCCUCUCCUCUUUAAUGUGCUAGCUUUUUCUAUUUUGAAAAAAUGUAAAACCUACAGAAAACGUAUCAUGCUAGUAUAAUGAACACCCAAAUACCCUUCACGUAUAUUCACCAGUUGUUAACAUUUUGCCACAUUUCUCUCCUUCUCUCCCCUCCCACUUUUUCCUUCUCAAUAUGUACACACAUAUUCUUGAUCCUGACCCAUUUAUGCACAGCCCCUCAUGCCUGCACACUUCAGCAUGUGUCUCCAGAGAACAAGGACAUUCUCUUACAUGGCCACAAUGUAACUAUCAAACUCAGAAAAUUUAACAUCAAUACAAUAUUAUCUAAUAUAAUAUAGUUCAUCUCAAAUUU